GAUCAUUGUCGUUGCCUCUCGAAAAACACGACCGUYGCACGCGUGACAGAAUGCCGCCGGGGAGGCGCCCGCCGCCUCCCCGGCCCCGCCGGCCCCUUCCCUCUCGCCCCCCGGGCGYGUCGGUCGGUGUCCGGAACACGGCGCGGAUGGCGCCAAGGAACACGAUACRGCCGGGGCGCCGGCGAGCCUCUCGGGGGCUUCGCCGGUCGCCGAGGCCAAUGAAAAAGAAAUAUGACUCUCGGCAACGGAUAUCUCGGCUCUCGCAUCGAUGAAGAACGUAGCGAAAUGCGAUACGUGGUGUGAAUUGCAGAAUCCCGUGAACCAUCGAGUCUUUGAACGCAAGUUGCGCCCGAGGGACCCUCCCGAGGGCACGCCUGCCUCACGGGCGUUAGAAGCCCAUCCACGCUCCGCUGCCUCACGGCAGAGAUGCGGACAUUGGCCCUCCGAACCGCGAGGCGCGGUGGGCCCAAGUGUGCGGCCGUCGUACGCGGCCGGGAGCGGCGAGUGUUGGGCUACUGCGCGCGUCGCCCCGAGCCCCGUACCGACUCGGGCCCUGAUUGACCCCCUAACGAGGAGCGUGACGUCGCGGCUCGCGCCGCGCGGCGCCUUCGGACCGAUACCCCAGGUCAGGCGGGGCUACCCGCUGAGUUUAAGCAUAUAAAUAAG
rnacentral:rRNA from 1 species